rnacentral:tRNA from 5 species
GCACGAGUGGCAGAGCAGCUAUGCAAUGGACUGCAGAUCCAUGGACCCGGGUGCAAAUCCCGGCUCGUGCUCCA